CCAGAUGUGGUGGAGAAGCAGUGUGGAGAGAGAGGUUAAAAGGCGGCGCAUGAGAGGAGGAGUCAGACAGUCAAGAGAGAACAGUCAAGAGCCCCCAGUGGUGUUGAUGUCAGGCCAAGAACAGGAGUAUGACACAGUAUAACCACUACCCAGCAUGGGAGACGAGUGAAUAGCAGUGCCUGUAAAAGGUCCACAGCAUUCAUGGUGGCCGGAACAACAUGUCCUGCUCUGUGCCUUCAGAGUUUAGUCAACAGAGUAAACGGCUUUAAUCCCAGGAUGACAGAUCUUUUUGGCCCCAAAUUCAAUUUCGGAGAAAUGUUUUGGGGCCCCAUUCCAGUGGGUUCCACCCCACCCCCAGCCCCGGGCAGAGCUUCUAUGAUGACAUAAGCGACAUGGCAUACAGAAGAGCAAAAAUAUAUUGAAUACGCAGGAGUUCUGCCCAGAAAAAAAAGGUGACCAUCCCAAACUACCACCAUUUGCAUGCAGCUUGAAAGGACUUCCAAUUCCAAAGGGUAGGAAAUAGGGACGGAUCCCCAGAUACCUUUCAGUCUCAAGUGAGAGAAACACAUGCUCUGAGGGCUGUGACGGCUGCCAGGGCUCCUGUCAAACAAUCAUGCCAUGAAGCCCUGAGACAAACAAUGGUUUCUUUGGAAAGCUGGAAGCCAAUUAAAAAAGGAGAC